rnacentral:rRNA from 1 species
UACAGAGGGUGCGAGCGUUGUUCGGAAUUAUUGGGCGUAAAGCGCUUGUAGGCGGCUUGUUAAGUUCCGUGUGAAAUCCCCAGGCUUAACCUGGGAAGUGCGCGGAAAACUGGCGAGCUUGAGUGCCGGAGAGGGUCGCGGAAUUCCCGGUGUAGAGGUGAAAUUCGUAGAUAUCAGGAAGAACACCAGUGGCGAAGGCGGCUCACUGGUCCGGUACUGACGCUGAGGUGCGAAAGCGUGGGGAGCAAACAGG